UUAAAGACUGUAGAGGCAACUGGUGUU
rnacentral:piRNA from 2 species